CCUACGGGAGGCAGCAGUGGGGGAUAUUGCACAAUGGGGGAAACCCUGAUGCAGCGACGCCGCGUGAGUGAAGAAGUAUUUCGGUAUGUAAAGCUCUAUCAGCAGGGAAGAAAAUGACCGUACCUGACCAAGAAGCCCCGGCUAACUACGGGCCAGCAGCCGCGGUAAUACGUAGGGGGCAAGCGUUAUCCGGAUUUACUGGGUGUAAAGGGAGCGUAGACGGUUAUGUAAGUCUGGAGUGAAAGCCCGGGGCCCAACCCCGGGACUGCUUUGGAAACUGUGUAACUGGAGUGCAGGAGGGGCAGGCGGAAUUCCUGGUGUAGCGGUGAAAUGCGUAGAUAUCAGGAGGAACACCGGCGGCGAAGGCGGCCUGCUGGACUGAAACUGACGUUGAGGCUCGAAAGCGUGGGGAGCAAACAGGAUUAGAUACCCCUGUAGUC
rnacentral:rRNA from 1 species